rnacentral:lncRNA from 1 species
CUUGAUUCUCUUUACCAAUCCCCAGGACCCUCCUAUUGAAGAGAUCCUGAAAGAUACAGAAAUCAGGAAAAAAUAGUACAACACAGUUCAAUUGCUUGGUUAAUUGAGACACAGAAAGAAAAUUGUACUUGAAUUCUGGAACAAACAAAACACCCUGCACUGCUUUGUCUUUGAAAACAAGAGAAUCACCUAUAUGACUUAUGGGAACUUGUUCUCCUAUAGGUAAGUUUACAUUCAAAGAUCCUUCAUCUUUGAGAUCUCUAUGGUGAUUCAUAAGACUGAGAGUAUGAACCAUAUGAUUUGAAGCUCCUGUAUCAACAAUCCAAUUAAAGUUCACUACAUUAGACAGAAGUGCAGUGACAGUACCUGAGGUACUGGUAGUAGCCACAUUAGCCAUAGUGUCAACUUCUUUGCCUUUGCUUAGCAUCUGAAGGAUCUGAGUGUAUUGUUCAGGAGUGAAUAAAGACAUACCCUGUGAACCUGCUUGUGUUCCUGUUGAAGUAGAGGUAGAACUCACAGGAGGAUCAUAAGCUCCAGCAUCAUUGGC